UCAGGUGAUCUCAGUCCACACUGAUCUGAAGAACCUCAUCUGACAUCAACACCAUCCGUGACCUCGGGUGUCCUCAACUUUAUCAACUUUACAGACUCUUCCAGCUCCUCAGAAGUUGACAGAAUCCCGCGAGGUCAUGGACUUCUUCAAAGUUGUGGGCGCCAUAGCGUCCGGUGUGGCGGAGGGGACGGUGGGUGCGGUCCGGGCCGUGGUGGACGUCCCGGUGGGGAUGGUGAAGGGAACCAUUGAGAGCUUGGAGAAGGCCAGCAGUAAGAUGGACAGCGUCAGCACACCCGGAGACGGAGUGAACGCUGUGUUCGGUCUGCUAGCGUCUCCGCUGACCGGCGCGGUGUCCGGAGCAACUAGAGAGAUUGUCAAUGCGCCAUUUAAAGUUGUGCAGAGUACUGCAAAUGGUGUUGAGAGAGUUUUAGACGAUUAAAGACUCAAACAUUUAACACUCAUAUUGUGUACACCUUUUAAUAACUUUUAUCUGUGAAUUAUCUGGAAAUUGAAGAAAAAUUACUAAUUAAAACUUUCACACUCUCACAGUUAAUGAUGGUUUGACGUUGUCUCUGCAAAUUACUUCAUAAUAUCGUAACAUUAAACUCAACACUGAUCGUUUCACAAUUAUGCGAAUUAAACUUCACUAUGUCACA